rfam:Pan troglodytes isolate Yerkes chimp pedigree #C0471 (Clint) chromosome 16, whole genome shotgun sequence.
ACCAGUCAUGGUGGCACAUGUCUGUAAUCUCAGCUACUUGGGAGGCUGAGACAGGAGGAUCGCUUGAGCUCAGCAACUGGAGCCUUCAGUGAGCUAUGAUCGUGCCACUGCACUCCAGCCUGGGCUACAGUGAAACCCUGUCUCAAAAAAGAACCCAAAGGAUCACCAGUCCUUUGGGUUCUUUUUUGAGACAGGGUUUCACUGUAGCCAAGGCUGGAGUGCAGUGGCACGAUCAUAGCUCACUGAAGGCUCCAGUUGCUGAGCUCAAGCGAUCCUCCUGUCUCAG